rfam:Strongyloides stercoralis strain PV0001 genome assembly, scaffold: SSTP_scaffold0000001
CCAAAGGCCCUCUUUAGGGCCAUCAAUUUUUUUUUUUUGUAUAAAU